UGCUGGGGUGGCGGAACUGGCAUACGCGCACGUUUGAGGGGCGUGUCCUUGAUACGGAUGCGGGUUCAAAUCCCGCCCUCAGCAU
rnacentral:tRNA from 1 species